UCCUGGAAGAUUUUCUACUUGUAUGUAUGUAUGUCUCAAUUUAUAUAGCGCACUAUCGCAUGGAACUGAAUCCCGAUCUAAUGACGCUGUUUCGUUUCCAAUUUGGAAGAUGUGAUUGAACACAUCACCGUAUGUUUAACGUCAUAUCCUUGAAAGCAAUCAAGGAUCCCUGUGUUAUGCGUGCUGCCUUCCGUCGGCGCGACUGCUACAGGUUUUUGACGGGUUCAGCUGGGUUUCGAAACCAGAGCCUCAUUGCCUUUUUUCCAAAGUGUUGACGCUCUAAUCCACUACACCACCAC